GUCACCGUGGGCAGGUGGGGUGAGCCCCGCCAGGAGCAGGUGCUCGGUGCCCGCGGGGCUGCCUGCAGCUCGCCCCGUGAAAACCCCGCUCCCCGCAGCGGGAGGGCGAAGCGCGUUCCUAACGUUGACGGGAGGCGAGUCUGCGGGGGAGCCGCAAAGACCAGGCACAGAUGGAGGAGUCUGGAUUGCCAGGACCUGGCUUGUUGGGCUGCAGGAACUUCCUUCACUGAGAGACCCCUGGGAGCCUUGAUUACUGGCUGAGCUGAGGAACCUGGAAGCCUUGCAAGAGCUGAUUCCAGCAUGCUGACCAUGGUGUCCUCAAGCAAGAGACACCUGCAGAAACCCCGACUA